rnacentral:tRNA from 1 species
UCUGUUUUAGUAUACUUAUUAUAUUAGCUUUUCGUGCUAAAGAUAGUUAUUUUAAACUAAACAGGG